rnacentral:rRNA from 1 species
AUUGAACGCUGGCGGCAGGCCUAACACAUGCAAGUCGAACGGUAACAGGAAGAAGCUUGCUUCUUUGCUGACGAGUGGAGGACGGGUGAGUAAUGUCUGGGAAACUGCCUGAUGGAGGGGGAUAACUACUGGAAACGGUAGCUAAUACCGCAUAACGUCGCAAGACCAAAGAGGGGGACCUUCGGGCCUCUUGCCAUCGGAUGUGCCCAGAUGGGAUUAGCUAGUAGGUGGGGUAACGGCUCACCUAGGCGACGAUCCCUAGCUGGUCUGAGAGGAUGACCAGCCACACUGGAACUGAGACACGGUCCAGACUCCUACGGGAGGCAGCAGUGGGGAAUAUUGCACAAUGGGCGCAAGCCUGAUGCAGCCAUGCCGCGUGUAUGAAGAAGGCCUUCGGGUUGUAAAGUACUUUCAGCGGGGAGGAAGGGAGUAAAGUUAAUACCUUCGCUCAUUGACGUUACCCGCAGAAGAAGCACCGGCUAACUCCGUG